UAAUGUCUGGGAAACUGCCCGAUGGAGGGGGAGUAACUACUGGAAACGGUAGCUAAUACCGCAUAACGUCGCAAGACCAAAGAGGGGGACCUUCGGGCCUCUUGCCAUCAGAUGUGCCCAGAUGGGAUUAGCUAGUAGGUGGGGUAACGGCUCACCUAGGCGACGAUCCCUAGCUGGUCUGAGAGGAUGACCAGCCACACUGGAACUGAGACACGGUCCAGACUCCUACGGGAGGCAGCAUG
rnacentral:rRNA from 1 species